CCUACGGGAGGCAGCAGUGAGGAAUAUUGGUCAAUGGCCGAGAGGCUGAACCAGCCAAGUCGCGUGAGGGAAGACGGCCCUACGGGUUGUAAACCUCUUUUGUCGGGGAGCAAAGCGACCCACGUGUGGUUCAUUGCGAGUACCCGAAGAAUAAGCAUCGGCUAACUCCGUGCCAGCAGCCGCGGUAAUACGGAGGAUGCGAGCGUUAUCCGGAUUUAUUGGGUUUAAAGGGUGCGCAGGCGGAGGUGCAAGUCAGCGGUCAAAUGGCGGGGCUCAACCCCGUACUGCAGUUGAAACUGCAUGCCUUGAGUGCGCGAGAGGUAUGCGGAAUGCGUGGUGUAGCGGUGAAAUGCAUAGAUAUCACGAAGAACUCCGAUUGCGAAGGCAGCAUACCGGCGCGCAACUGACGCUGAUGCACGAAAGCGUGGGUAUCGAACAGGAUUAGAUACCCGAGUAGUC
rnacentral:rRNA from 1 species